rnacentral:rRNA from 1 species
AUUGGACGCUGGCGGCAGGCCUAACACAUGCAAGUCGAGCGAGCGGCGGACGGGUGAGUAAAGUAUGGGGGCUGCCCGAUAGAGGGGGAUAAAAACUGGAAACGGGGUCUAAAACCGCAUACUGUCGGAUGACACAGAUGGGAUUAGCUAGUAGGUAAGGUAAUGGCUUACCUAGGCGACGAUCCCUAGCUGGUCUGAGAGGAUGAUCAGCCACACUGGGACUGAGACACGGCCCAGACUCCUACGGAGGCAGCAGUGGGGAAUAUUGCACAAUGGGCGCAAGCCUGAUGCAGCCAUGCCGCGUGUAUGAAGAAGGCCCUAGGGUUGUAAAGUACUUUCAGUCGGGAGGCGUUACCGACAGAAGAAGCACCGGCUAACUCCGUGCCAGCCGCCGCGGUAAUUC